UACGUAGGGUGCAAGCGUUGUCCGGAAUUAUUGGGCGUAAAGAGCGUGUAGGCGGCCCGAUUAGUCCGCUGUGAAAGUCCAGGGCUCAACCCUGGAAUGCCGGUGGAUACUGUCGGGCUAGAGUCCGGAAGGGGCGAGUGGAAUUCCUGGUGUAGCGGUGAAAUGCGCAGAUAUCAGGAGGAACACCAAUGGCGAAGGCAGCUCGCUGGGACGUGACUGACGCUGAGACGCGAAAGCGUGGGGAUCAAACAGG
rnacentral:rRNA from 1 species